AACGAACGCUGGCGGCAUGCCUAACACAUGCAAGUCGAACGAGACCUUCGGGUCUAGUGGCGCACGGGUGCGUAACGCGUGGGAAUCUGCCCUUCGGUUGGGAAUAACUGAGAGAAAUUUCAGCUAAUACCUUAUAAUGUCUUCGGACCAAAGAUUUAUCGCCGAGGGAUGAGCCCGCGUAGGAUUAGGUAGUUGGUGGGGUAAUGGCCUACCAAGCCGACGAUCCUUAGCUGGUCUGAGAGGAUGAUCAGCCACACUGGGACUGAGACACGGCCCAGACUCCUACGGGAGGCAGCAGUGGGGAAUAUUGGACAAUGGGCGAAAGCCUGAUCCAGCAAUGCCGCGUGAGUGAUGAAGGCCUUAGGGUUGUAAAGCCCUUUUACCCGGGAUGAUAAUGACAGUACCGGGAGAAUAAGCUCCGGCUAACUCCGUG
rnacentral:rRNA from 1 species